UGGUUCUGGCAUCGAUGAAGAACGCAGCGAAAUGCGAUAAGUAAUGCGAAUUGCAGAAUCCGUGAGUCAUCGAAUCUUUGAACGCAUAUUGCGCCCUUCGGUAUUCCGGAGGGCAUGCCUGUUCGAGCGUCAUUAUCACCUCUCAAGCCUGGCUUGCUGUUGGAUUUUAGAUAUGGUUUUGAGCUAUAUCUUGCCCUAAAGAUAAUGACGGUGUCUGUGAGGACCCCUAUACACUGAGCUUUUACUAGCACGUACUAGGUGGAAGUCUAGGCCCGGUCUUACCCAAUUUUUACUAAGGUUGACCUCGGAUCAGGUAGGAAUACCCGCUGA
rnacentral:misc_RNA from 1 species